rnacentral:rRNA from 1 species
CCCUUAGAUGUUCUGGGCCGCACGCGUGCUACACUGAGUGGAUCAGCGGGUCAGGUUGCGCGAAAGCGUUUCCUAAUCUUUAAAUCCGCUCGUGAUGGGGAUUGACGGUUGCAAUUUUCUGUCAUGAACGAGGAAUACCUUGUAAGCGCGGGUCAUCAUCCCGCGCUGAAUACGUCCCUGCCCUUUGUACACACCGCCCGUCGCUCCUACCGAUUGAGUGGUCCGGUGAGGCUUUGGGAUCUGAGCAAAAAGAGCGUUUCGCUCGUUUGGCUCGGAAAACUCAGUCGAACCUUAUCAUUUAGAGGAAGGAGAAGUCGUAACA